GAUGAACGCUGGCGGCGUGCCUAAUACAUGCAAGUCGAGCGAACAGACGAGGAGCUUGCUCCUCUGAUGUUAGCGGCGGACGGGUGAGUAACACGUGGAUAACCUACCUAUAAGACUGGGAUAACUUCGGGAAACCGGAGCUAAUACCGGAUAAUAUUUUGAACCGCAUGGUUCAAAAGUGAAAGACGGUUUUGCUGUCACUUAUAGAUGGAUCCGCGCCGCAUUAGCUAGUUGGUAAGGUAACGGCUUACCAAGGCAACGAUGCGUAGCCGACCUGAGAGGGUGAUCGGCCACACUGGAACUGAGACACGGUCCAGACUCCUACGGGAGGCAGCAGUAGGGAAUCUUCCGCAAUGGGCGAAAGCCUGACGGAGCAACGCCGCGUGAGUGAUGAAGGUCUUCGGAUCGUAAAACUCUGUUAUUAGGGAAGAACAAAUGUGUAAGUAACUAUGCACGUCUUGACGGUACCUAAUCAGAAAGCCACGGCUAACUUCGUG
rnacentral:rRNA from 1 species